GAUGAACGCUGGCGGCGUGCCUAAUACAUGCAAGUCGAGCGAACAGACGAGGAGCUUGUUCCUCUGCCGUUAGCGGCGGACGGGUGAGUAACACGUGGAUAACCUACCUAUAAGACUGGGAUAACUACGGGAAACCGGAGCUAAUACCGGAUAAUAUAUUGAACCGCUUGGUUCAAUAGUGAAUGACGGUUUUGCUGUCUCUUUUAGAUGGAUCCGCGCCGCAUUAGCUAGUUGGUAAGGUAACGGCUUACCAAGGCAACGAUGCGUAGCUGACCUGAGAGGGUGAUCAGCCACACUGGAACUGAGACACGGUCCAGACUCCUACGGGAGGCAGCAGUAGGGAAUCUUCCGCAAUGGGCGAAAGCUUGACGGAGCAACGCCGCGUGAGUGAUGAAGGUCUUCGGAUCGUAAAACUCUGUUAUUAGGGAAGAACAAAUGUGUAAGUAACUAUGCACGUCUUGACGGUACCUAAUCAGAAAGCCACGGCUAACUACGUG
rnacentral:rRNA from 1 species